rnacentral:rRNA from 1 species
CGUAGGGUGCGAGCGUUAAUCGGAAUUACUGGGCGUAAAAGCGUGCGCAGGCGGUUUUUGUUAAGACAAGGCGUGAAAUCCCCGAGCUUCAAACUUGGGAAUGGCGCUUGUGACUGCAAGGCUAGAGUAUGUCAGAGGGGGGUAGAAUUCCACGUGUAAGCAGUGAAAUGCGUAGAGAUGUGGAGGAAUACCGAUGGCGAAGGCAGCCCCUGGGACGUCACUGACGCUCAUGCACGAAAGCGUGGGGAGCAAACGAGGAUU